rnacentral:rRNA from 1 species
GAUGAACGCUGGCGGCGUGCCUAAUACUUGCAAGUCGAGCGAAUGGAUUAAGAGCUUGCUCUUAUGAAGUUAGCGGCGGACGGGUGAGUAACACGUGGGUAACCUGCCCAUAAGACUGGGAUAACUCCGGGAAACCGGGGCUAAUACCGGAUAACAUUUUGAACCGCAUGGUUCGAAAUUGAAAGGCGGCUUCGGCUGUCACUUAUGGAUGGACCCGCGUCGCAUUAGCUAGUUGGUGAGGUAACGGCUCACCAAGGCAACGAUGCGUAGCCGACCUGAGAGGGUGAUCGGCCACACUGGGACUGAGACACGGCCCAGACUCCUACGGGAGGCAGCAGUAGGGAAUCUUCCGCAAUGGACGAAAGUCUGACGGAGCAACGCCGCGUGAGUGAUGAAGGCUUUCGGGUCGUAAAACUCUGUUGCUAGGGAAGAACAAGUGCUAGUUGAAUAAGCUGGCACCUUGACGGUACCUAACCAGAAAGCCACGGCUAACUACGUGCCAGCCGCCGCCGUAA